rnacentral:misc_RNA from 1 species
CGCAAGCCUGACGGAGCAAGACCGCGUGAGGGAGGAAGGUUCUUGGACUGUAAACCUCUUUUCUCUGGGAAGAAAAAAAUGACGGUACCAGAGGAAUAAGCAUCGGCUAACUCCGUGCUAGCAGCCGCGGUAAGACGGAGGAUGCAAGCGUUAUCCGGAAUGAUUGGGCGUAAAGCGCCCGCAGGUGGUUUUUCAAGUCUGCUGUUAAAGACCGGGGCUUAACUCCGGGCAGGCAGUGGAAACUGAAAGACUAGAGUAUGGUAGGGGCAGAGGGAAUUCCUGGUGUAGCGGUGAAAUGCGUAGAGCUCAGGAAGAACAUCGGUGGCGAAGGCGCUCUGCUAGGCCAAAACUGACACUCAGGGACGAAAGCUAGGGGAGCGAAUGGGAUUAGAUACCCCAGUAGUCCUAGCUGUAAACGAUGGAUACUAGGUGUUGUCUGUAUCGACCCGGACAGUGCCGUAGCUAACGCGUUAAGUAUCCCGCCUGGGGAGUACGCACGCAAGUGUGAAACUCAAAGGAAUUGACGGGGGCCCGCACAAGCGGUGGAGUAUGUGGUUUAAUUCGAUGCAACGCGAAGAACCUUACCAGGGCUUGACAUGUCCGGAACCCCGGUGAAAGCUGGGGGUGCCUUAGGGAGCCGGAACACAGGUGGUGCAUGGCUGUCGUCAGCUCGUGUCGUGAGAUGUUGGGUUAAGUCCCGCAACGAGCGCAACCCUCGUUUUCAGUUGCCAUCAUUAAGUUGGGAACUCUGGAGAGACUGCCGGUGACAAACCGGAGGAAGGUGGGGAUGACGUCAAGUCAGCAUGCCCCUUACGUCCUGGGCUACACACGUACUACAAUGGUCGGGACAAAGAGCAGCCAACUCGCGAGGGUGAGCUAAUCUCGAAAACCCGGCCUCAGUUCAGAUUGCAGGCUGCAACUCGCCUGCAUGAAGGCGGAAUCGCUAGUAAUCGCAGGUCAGCAUACUGCGGUGAAUCCGUUCCCGGGCCUUGUACACACCGCCCGUCACACCAUGGAAGUUGGCCACGCCCGAAGUCAUUACUCUAACCCGCAAGGGGGGAGGAUGCCGAAGGCAGGGCUGAUGACUGGGGUGAAGUCGUAACAAGGUAGCCGUACCGGAAGGUGUGGCUGGAUCACCUCCUUUUAGGGAGACCUAUUGAUACUGACCUGAACCUAUCACUACAACAGGCAGAAAUCAGUCAUCCCAAGGUCGGACGAGGUUAAACAGUUCUGAGUUAAUCAGGAUUGGGUGAAAACCAAAAUACCUAAGCUUUCAAACUAGAACCGGGUUCGGUUCAUGGGCUAUUAGCUCAGUUGGUUAGAGCGCACCCCUGAUAAGGGUGAGGUCUCUGGUUCAAAUCCAGAAUGGCCCACCUUCACAGGUGAACUUCACAGUGGAAAACUAAGGUGGAAAACUUGAUGUGAAAACUCAAGUGCCAAACCAAGAGUUCCAAACCAACGGGGGUAUAGCUCGGUUGGUAGAGCGCCUGCUUUGCACGCAGGAAGUCAGCGGUUCGAGUCCGCUUACCUCCACUUCUAUUUCUGUUGAGAGUUGAGAUUUGAGAAAAGUCUCAAGACUAUCUCAAGAAAAGUAGAGGGGGAGUUAAAAAGUCGUCUCGAAAGGGCGACCCAAGCAACUGAGAUGAGCAAGUGAACCCGAAACGAUUUCAGCAUCUGUACUUGUGUGAACAAGCUUGUGAGACAAGUCAGAAUGCUGGAUUCUUCUGAAUCCAGAGAGAACCUUGAAAACUGCAUAGCAAUAAGUCUUUAGAAAGCAGGUAUGUCAUACCGAGUUAAGGCUCGGCGUGUCUUACAAGCAAGAAAGAGAAUUCGCGUGAAAAUAGCGCAAUAAACUAACUAAGAGUAGGAACCGUAAAGGUUUUGAAUCUGAGUUAGAGUGGUCAAGCUAUAAAGGGCUAACGGUGGAU